rnacentral:rRNA from 1 species
UACGGGGGGGGCAAGCGUUGUUCGGAAUUACUGGGCGUAAAGGGCGCGUAGGCGGCCUUCUAAGUCGGACGUGAAAUCCCUCGGCUUAACCGAGGAACUGCGUCCGAUACUGAAAGGCUUGAAUCCGGGAGAGGGAUGUGGAAUUCCAGGUGUAGCGGUGAAAUGCGUAGAUAUGGGGAGGAACACCGGUGGCGAAGGCGGCGUCCUGGACCAACACUGACACUGAGGAGCGAAAGCCAGGGGAGCAAACGGG